AGUGAACGCUGGCGGUAGGCCUAACACAUGCAAGUCGAACGGCAGCACAGUAAGAGCUUGCUCUUACGGGUGGCGAGUGGCGGACGGGUGAGGAAUACAUCGGAAUCUACUUUUUCGUGGGGAUAACGUAGGGAAACUUACGCUAAUACCGCAUACGACCUACGGGUGAAAGCAGGGGAUCUUCGGACCUUGCGCGAUUGAAUGAGCCGAUGUCGGAUUAGCUAGUUGGCGGGGUAAAGGCCCACCAAGGCGACGAUCCGUAGCUGGUCUGAGACGAUGAUCAGCCACACUGGAACUGAGACACGGUCCAGACUCCUACGGGAGGCAGCAGUGGGGAAUAUUGGACAAUGGGCGCAAGCCUGAUCCAGCCAUACCGCGUGGGUGAAGAAGGCCUUCGGGUUGUAAAGCCCUUUUGUUGGGAAAGAAAAGCAGCAGGUUAAUACCCCGCUGUUCUGACGGUACCCAAAGAAUAAGCACCGGCUAACUUCGUG
rnacentral:rRNA from 1 species